GGAAAUUCUACACAGAAGCCCGUCUAAGUCUUAGCAGCAAUGUUGUACUCGUUUUCUUCUUUAAAAUUAAUGAAUACACAGCCAGAGGUUUAUUAUGCCACACACAUUGUGUUCACCACUCUUCAUGAUUAAAAGUCUCACUUCUGGGGUCCAGGACAACUUCCUAAAUUCAUCACCGGGAACUGCAUUGCAACAUUGCUGAUUCUGGCCCUAUGAUUAAUUCUACAGCUUUUGAAGAAACCCAAACUGGACAGACAGUUACUGAAUUUUUGUAAUGUCCGAGGCUUCCAGGAGGAGUGACACAUAUCUCUGCUGGAUGAGCUCACAGUUCCAAUGAGAAGAUACAAGCUGAAAGAUUGCAGCAGAACUGGGAAGUGAAAGCACGGAGAGGCUGUGGGACAUGGAGGAGGGGCGGUAAGAUUGAGAAAGAGGAACAAAUAAUUCUUGUCCUAAAUUGGAAACCAUAAAUCUGAGUAUCUUCAAGCAGGAGUGAAAACAUCAUGGCUAAGUCUUCAUAUCACUGAUACUUGCGGGAGUUCCCGAUCUGGCUGAACCACUGGAGAGAAGACGGUUCCCUUGAGAAAUAGCCAGCACUGUCUGCCAGUUAGAUGGGAAAAGUUAGAGGCACUUCUUGCUGCUGCCAUGUGAAGGAUGUGUUUGCUUCCUCUUUCACCAUGAUUGAAAGUUUCCUGAGGCCUCCCUACCCAUGCUGAACUGGGUUUAAAUGCUGCUAUGCAGCCACUCACUCGACAAAUGAUUGAAAUAUAUAUAACUACAAAGAAAACCAUCACAAGACGCUUUGAUGGCAGUCAUCAACAGCCAGGCUGAGGCUGUUCUUGGAGUGGUGUAGAUCAGGAGUUCUGAAAACAACAACAACAACAACAACAACAAUAACAACAACAACAACAACGUAUGGUCAACUGAUGAGACUCAGAAUCUCUGUGGGCCAAGAAGUGAGACUGUGAGUGUCCUUGAAUACCUAAAUGUUUUCUGCUUUGACACUGGUGUGACUUUAGCCCCACGACCAUUCCUUCUCUCUUUUCUUGGCAAUCCUCCCGUGAACUUAGUGCUCACCCAUGUUGAUAAAUCUAAAUUGCUCAACCAAAGGCUUCCAAAUCACAAGAAUAAUUCCCCCCUAUUCUGAGACCCAUCUUUGAUGAACCGUUCCUGAAACUAAUGGAGAUUUAGUGGUUCACUCUUUCUCAAGCAUUAUAAUGUCAUUUUAUUUCUUCACCCUCUCACACACGUGUCCUUCCUGCCUCAGUGUCAACCUAGAGUGCUCUCUCGCCUGCCUCCACUCUCCAUUGUCUUUAACUCCUCCUCAUUCUUCAGUCUGAAGAUCUAAAAGUUCUCAUCCUUAGAACAGCCACCCUGAACCCCUUUGUAUGCUCUUUUCCUUAUAACACAUAUACUAAUUUGCAAUGAUCUUUCAGUGUGAUUAUUUGAUGACUGUCUUUCCUCCGUAAUAAACUCUACACUUCACAAGGGUGAGGACUGAAUCUGGUUUGCUCCUAUUUUAUCCCCACAAUGCUUGCAUGUAGCAGCUUCUUGUAAAGUGAUUGUUGAAAGGUUAAAGAAUGAAAUGAACAAAAUGAUGUGAAUUAAUUCAUUCAUAACAGUAGUCAGGAAUGAUUUCAUCAAUGGAACCGGAAGAUUUCAAUGACAUAAACUACAAAUGUCUGCUUGUCUCUGCAGCAGGGGUGCUUUGACUCUGGGUUUCAUUUACAGCUAGUGAAACUUAGUGGACAUUUAAUUCCUCUCUGAAACAUUCUUUUUUAAAAGAUAUGUUAAUAUAUAUAAUUAGAUAUCCAUCAGAUCUCAUUGAUCUGAGAUUACACUAUCUUGUUCAUGACGAAGAAGGAAGAGAAAGGAGAGGGAAGCAAGGAAGAAGUGACUUUCAUAAUGAGAAAUAUAGAUAGUAGAACAAAAUAUACUGACUUACUUGUAUUAUUUUGGAAGUAAUUUGACUUAGUUCACUUAUGCAUCCAGAGUUACCAUACCACAGAAUGGCCAAGAGGAUCUGAAUUUUGCCUGAUUAUGCAUGGCCUCGAUUAGUGUGUGAUGUGUUUUUAAUACCCUUUUAGAAAGAAAAUUGUAAGCUGUCAUAACAUGACUCUAACUGGAAAGAUAAUGUCAAACCUUCUUAGAAAACACUGUAGGAUAUUUCAAUUCUCUUAGCAAGAAAGAGCACAAAUUUAAUUAUGGAUCAAAAUGCCUUCUGCAUCAAGUGGAGAGAGGUGGUUAUUGGAAGUCCUGUGGUGCUUCUUAUUUUUCAAUAUGACAGGAAACUAGAAACCCAAAUAUCCAAGUGAUCCAAUUUAUAUUUGUUCCCAUGGUUUCUAAUAUGUAGUAGUACCUCAUGCAGUUCUAUUUGAAAACAAAAAAGGUUAAUGAAUUUCUUGACAAUAUGCAAAUAUAUUUACGCCUAAGUUUAUGGUCUCAGACAACACCCACAAACACACAUAUACAUGACCCAUGGGGUACUAGUAGUUUAUUGCCAAUACCACUCUUACUAACAGUGUGGUAACACAUUGUAACAUAUUAUUUGAUUGUAUUGUUCCUGGAGUUUCAAAGGCCUAGAAAUAGAACCUUCCAUGAUAUCAUCACAUGCUAAACCUGGAGAGGAAAGCAAAUAUCAGGACAGUGAAUCUUCUUUCCCUCCUCUUUCUGAACUCUAGCCCUGUAGACUGAAGCCUAUUCUCAGCAUUGCCACCAUCCACUGUUUUCCUGUGUAUAACCUUUAAUUAAUGGAAGCGAUUUUCACCACAUUGAAGGUUUUCUAUCCUGGAUUACCAAGAAAAAUAAUGCAAGCCCACUUUCCCGUUAAUCACAUAGCCAAAACAUGGAGGCCAUUGAUAAGUGAUAGCUCUUCAGUCACUCAACCACUAUCUGCUUCAGAAAUAAGGCUAAUGAUAUAGUCUACAUUCUUCAUUAGACUGAAAUAACUGAUAUAAAAUAGUUAUUGGGUAAUUUUUUGAGUUCAGUGAGUAAAAAUUCAAUCCAAAAGUAACAUUGUUAGCUUUACUUAGGGUUUUUUUUCUCAUGACUCGGAAUACUUAAGAAUAUAUAUCUGAACAAUAUUGCAUUAUGAAAAUAUUUUUAUACCUAAGUUUUUAAGUUUGAAAGGAAGUUACUUAUCAACUUGCUCUGAUGACUAUCUUUAGAGUAGGCAGAAUAGCCUCCCAAAGAUGUCCACUUAAUGUCCAGAACCUGUGAAUGUUACCUUGCAUGGAAAAAAGACUUGCAGAUGCAAUUAAGUUUUUAGACUUUACAAUAGGGACACUAUCUCGGAUUAUUUGAGUGGGCCUAGUGUAAUCACAUGAACCU
rnacentral:lncRNA from 10 species